UAUCCCGCUCUGCCACCGCCCCCCCUGCUCCACCGAACUGACCUCUUCUUCGAGCGUGAGUCGCUCCUCUCCCCGACACCCUCGUACGCGCUAGGGUUUCAUGCGCCGCCGCCGCCGCCGGUCCUCUCCAACACCGCGACGGGCUUCACGACCUACUUCGGCCUCAGGCCUUAAUGCUUCCUAUGCUUCUGCGUCUACCGACUCUUCGGCGAGGAGGACGUACAUCAGGCAGCAGGUGACGCGCGGUGGCUGCACGAAUUCCUCUACGGCGGAGAUCUCCAGGAUGGGUGCUUGUCUUCUCGGAAGAAGGAGACGAUGAAGGAUGCAGAGUAGGAAGGCAACAUGGAAGGGGAGGUGGUGUGUUCUUGAUGAUAAUCGAAGAAGAUCGUGUUGGCUGCUGUUCAAGGGACGACAACCAAAGAAGAAGAAGAUGAUUGCUAUGUUCUGCUGGAUCAGGAUUCUGGAAGACCACAAAGAGGAAUAAGACAAGCAGGCACAUGUGUACCGUCAUGGGCAGCAAAACGAUGAGUAAACCCAAGAACAUCAAGGAGGGAUUAUGUUGGUUGCGGCUGCAGUAGCGUGACAGAUCAAGCGAGCUAGGUUGUGCCAUGUCUGGUCCUCUUCAAACGGUGGACACCGGGUGCUUACGAUCGACGUGACGGCGGCGGUGCAAGAGCAUGGUGUAGCUGGUCUGAGAGUGGCGAUGGACUCAUUGCCCGUUGCUACUAUAUCAUCCAAAGUAGUGGCAGGGCGCAGCGGCACGAACGGCUCAACCUCUGUCUUGAUCAUCCCAUUACCAUGGAGGCGCUUUACUUAUUAUGCAACUGCAGGUAGUACAUUGUAGAUGGUGAUCCAAAAUGCAUAGAAACGUGGGUAGAGAUGGGAACUAUCAAAGCGAUUGGAACUAUCUGGGACAAACAGCGUCAUCAUCUUAUACUGCUAACAUGAUUGACCGAUCUAGGAGAUACUUAUGAGCUUCUGAAGCUCGAUUGUUCAGAUUAUCAUGGACGAGAUGACAAUGAAGAGCCUGAUAUAGUCCACCAUAACAUCAAUGCAUCAUUGCCCUGCUAUUUCAUUACACCAGACAGUAAUCAUAUUUUACUGGCAAUCAGCUAAUCAGUGACUGUAGUGAUGUUCUCAUCAUCAAGGUACUGCAAAUAGGUGUUUGUUUAAUUAAAUUAGACAUGUGGCAAAAUUCUUCUAAAGAUGACACUGAUAUUCUCCAUCAAAGUACUAAAUAUGACUUCCGUUGACAGUACUCAUAUUUAUGCUUCCGUUACUGAAAUCUUCAUGAGUGUGGAUCCUAUAUGAUUCUCUUCAUAUAAAAUACUACUAUUUUGGGAAAGGCAUCUAGCUGAGUUUUAAUAAAACUCUUCAGCGAAAAAUAUUUCUAACGGUGUUACAACGACAACUGACAAGGACUGCCACGAUUAGAGCUACCAUUUGGCCCCAUGUUUCAGUAUGCAGUCAAGCAUGCAAUAAAGGUAAUGACACGGCAUUUUGUAGUUUCGGGUAGUGCAUGUAGUUUUGGCCAAAUUGUAUGUUACAGUUGACACCGUAGGAGAUUGGAAUUCUGAAUUUGGAUGCUUUCAUCCAGAUCAAAGAAGUAGAAUACUCCCUCCGAUCCAAAUUACUUGUCGUUGAAAUAGAUGCAUCUAUAAUUGACAUUCAUCUAAGAUACAUCCAUUUCAGCAACAAGUAAUACGGAUUGGAGGGAGUAUCAAAUUUGUUGUGUUGAAGUCGUUAUGGAGGUGACAAGGAAUCUAUAUUGCUCUGUAGACGACGUCAUUGUGCAUUUCAAUAUAUAUUGCUCUGUAGAAAAAUACAUUUAUGUGGAGUAUGCUUCAGGAUGGGUGACCUCCUGGGAAGUCCUCGUGAAAGGGUUUCAUAUCUAGCCUACCCCAACUUGUUUGGGAUAAAAGGCUUCGUAAAGGAAAGGAGUAUGCUUCAGGUAAUUCACCAAUGCAUUUGUUUCAUCAUUUCUUUUUGACUAUUAACUGCGUGAGCAAGUGUCUAAUAAUAGUAAAGUUCCCCAUUGGGUCGCUACUACAACUAAAUGGGCUUGUGAAUAGCUGUAGAACGUACUCUAUUUUGUUCCCCACUGAAGGGCAAUGUUCAUAUUGGUCUCUCGAAAGAACUGAAAGAAAUGCAGCCUUGACAAUUGAAUGCCCACAUUCCUUGUUGGAGAUCAUAGAGCUAUAUACAUUAAUGAGUUAUUAUGUUGAUGCACACUGCAUUGCAUUUACUAAACUUGUUUUCUUCUUACCAGAUUCAGUGGUAAUGUAAUUUUGGUUGGGUAGGGGUUUGUGAAGAAAACUAGCAAGGUUCAUAAGAUGCACCCAGGUGGAAUACUUACUUUCCAAAUGUCAAGUAUUUUUUUAAAGAUUAGACAUAUAAAUGUCUGAGUCGUUUGUGUGCUUGUCAAAUAUCAUGCAAAAAUGAUAAGGAGGACGAGGUUAUGAGGUAAUGUGCUUGGGCAGGAGGAAGAGGUACUGGUUCAACCCAUGAAAGUUCUUAGCUCAUAAUUGCUACCAAUUCUACAGAAAAGGUUGUGAUUUUGUUAACCUGACUAGAGCUUUCAUGUUAUGUCAGUCCUUUAUUUAGAUGAUUUAGUUGUUGACCUACCAUUCCUUUCUAGAUGAUUACUUGUGGUUCUUUUACUAAGGCAGUGCAUCUAGGGUUUCUUUACUUGCUCACUGACCCUUCAGUUCAAUGACGGCCAAUGCAGUAGAAUCGAGGCUGCAACUCUGGCACUUCAAAGAGGAAAAGAAAAGAUGACUACUUCAUGGCGAGGGCAUAUUUCCUUCACUGCUUCCACUGCAGGCGAGGUGUUCGAUGAAAUGACCGGAAGCGGUGAUUCGAACAAUGCCACUGCCGAGUUCGUGAACUUGUUGGACACCAACGCCGUCGACAUCGAUCAAGCCCCGUUCACUGAUUUUGAUUACAAUGAAAUGGAGGGUGGUGUGGAUGAUCACGGCGGUGAUGAUGAAGUGGAGGAGGUAGAUGAGGGGGCGUAUGAGCAAGCGCAAGCAAAAAAAGCAUGAGAUCGAAGAACUACAUGAUCUUGGAAGAUCAAAUCUUGAUCAAGGCUUGAAGUGCAGUGUCUCUUGAUGCUUGCACAGGUACAUCUCAUACCUCCAAGAGAUAUUGGCAAAGAAUCGAAGAUCCAUACUUCCGCGUGAUGGCCAAGCAUCUCUACUCCUAAUGGAGCAGUUGGUAGUCUCGCUUCCAGGCAAUAAGCGCUUCUACAUGCAUCCUCCUGUUGGUCCCUAAAGUACCAAGGUAAAUGGUUGAUGUUGCGUUUGUCUAGGAUGAUAUAUGUUGGCUCUGUUCCGGUUCAUCCGAGCAGUUCCGGUACAUCGUGCAUUUAUCUUGCCAGUAAUGUUCUGUGAUGCUCUGAUGCACUUUGGGAAUUGUUUAUCUUGUCUUUAGUGCAGAACAUUUGUUUAUUAAUGCAUGAGAAGAAUCCUUGUUACUA